CCUACGGGAGGCAGCAGUGAGGAAUAUUGGUCAAUGGGCGCGAGCCUGAACCAGCCAAGUCGCGUGAGGGAAGACGGUCCUAUGGAUCGUAAACCUCUUUUGUCGGGGAGCAAAAGACGCCACGCGUGGCGUUCCGAGAGUACCCGAAGAAAAAGCAUCGGCUAACUCCGUGCCAGCAGCCGCGGUAAUACGGAGGAUGCGAGCGUUAUCCGGAUUUAUUGGGUUUAAAGGGUGCGCAGGCGGAAGAUCAAGUCAGCGGUAAAAUUGAGGGGCUCAACCUCUUCGAGCCGUUGAAACUGGUUUUCUUGAGUGGGUGAGAAGUAUGCGGAAUGCGUGGUGUAGCGGUGAAAUGCAUAGAUAUCACGCAGAACUCCGAUUGCGAAGGCAGCAUGCCGGCGCUCAACUGACGCUCAGGCACGAAAGUGUGGGUAUCGAACAGGAUUAGAUACCCGUGUAGUC
rnacentral:rRNA from 1 species